UCCCAUAUGGUCUAGCGGUAAGGAUUUCUGGUUUUCACCCAGACGGCCCGGGUUCGACUCCCGGUAUGGGAA
rfam:Nematostella vectensis strain CH2 x CH6 NEMVEscaffold_224_Cont19623, whole genome shotgun sequence.